rnacentral:snRNA from 1 species
GCUGAAGCAGUACGUUGUUCGCGU